GGGGAUCUAACUCAGUGAUAGAGUACUUGCCUAGCAUGCAGGAUGCCCUGGGUUUGAUCUCCA
rnacentral:tRNA from 1 species